CACAUCAGCGCGCUUUGUUGACGUGGCAGCAAAUCGCGUCCUAGAGGGUGCGAUUUGUUGCCAUGUCAGCAACUCGCGCUAACAUGG
rfam:Gossypium raimondii Chr13_contig_323, whole genome shotgun sequence.